CCGCCCUCUCGUGGGACCCCAUUCAUGGUUUUCCCCAGGACAAUAUUGUCCCGCUGUUGUUGGAGUGGGCUGUCUGUUAUCUCAGGUUGAUCUGGUUGUCCGGAUCCCUUCUGAGGGAUGAGAGGGUUAAGUCCAUGGGUAUGACUGUGCUGCUGUUUUGCCUCUGCGAAUAUUGUUGUGGGUCGCUCUGACUCCAACUCAUCACAACGGGGCUUCACUCCGUGUACCGGUAUUACAGUCGGCCGUUCUGUGUUUGUUUCACGUGAACUCUGCAUUUACCAAAAUCUGUAUUAGUGAUUGUAAAUCUAGUAAAUUUGCAUGUACUAACUAUCGUUAACCGACACCAUCUCAUACUGUCAACCAAGUAGGUCUUUUGCCCCCUUUGAAUCUGGGCUAUUUGGUUAAAUUAGUGAUUAGUUUUGUUAUUUUGGUUUGAUUUAUAUUGUGAGUAUGUUUAGAUUAAACUGAGGGGAAUUAAUGUU